GGUUAAGGCACCUGAUGCCGAUGCUCAUCAGACCCCAGAAAAGGUGUUGGUUGAUAUAGACAGCAGGAUGGUGGCCAUGGAAGUUGGAAUCCAUGAAGGAGUAUGUAACAACUCACCUGCCAAAUCAACUAGCCCUGAAAAUGGAUGGCACUGGAGCGUCAGGUCCAUACC
rnacentral:ncRNA from 1 species